rnacentral:tRNA from 1 species
GGGUUGGAGGCAGAUACGGGUCGCUGCGCUUGUCUGUAAAACAAGUCCCUCACGGGUUGUGGGUUCGAAUCCCACCUGACCCACCA